rnacentral:rRNA from 1 species
AUUGAACGCUGGCGGCAUGCCUUACACAUGCAAGUCGAACGGCAGCACGGGAGCAAUCCUGGUGGCGAGUGGCGAACGGGUGAGUAAUGCAUCGGAACGUGCCAUUGAGUGGGGGAUAACGUAGCGAAAGUUACGCUAAUACCGCAUAUUCUGUGCGCAGGAAAGCAGGGGAUCGCAAGACCUUGCGCUCUUUGAGCGGCCGAUGUCAGAUUAGCUAGUUGGUGGGGUAAAGGCUCACCAAGGCGACGAUCUGUAGCGGGUCUGAGAGGAUGAUCCGCCACACUGGGACUGAGACACGGCCCAGACUCCUACGGGAGGCAGCAGUGGGGAAUUUUGGACAAUGGGGGCAACCCUGAUCCAGCCAUGCCGCGUGAGUGAAGAAGGCCUCGGUUGUAAGACUCUUUCGGUCCGGACGGAAUACGCACAGGUUAAGUAACCUCGUGUGGAUGACGGUACCGGACGUAACGAAGACACCGGCCUAACUACGUAGCCACG